rnacentral:lncRNA from 1 species
GGGAGGAAAUGAAACGCCGCACGAUCGUGGGCGUUGGAUCAAAUGGAUCUGAACCUUCAGUGUUUCUAUAUAUAGGGGGUCUCUUCUUCAUUUGUACUUUUCAGCUAGUGCUACACAAAUUGUUGCUAUCGUUCGGUUUUCUUCCUCGCCUCUACUCAUGGGCGACCAGUGCCUUCUUUAACCUCAGUAAGUAUUUCCUCUUGCCUCAUUUUUGUUGUUAGUUACCGUUUUCAUGUGUAUGUCCCGUAAUUCAGGUAAAUGAUCGGGCGACCUACCUAAGAAUUCAUACUUCUGGAUAUUCGACCAUCUGGGGGAAGGAUCUUCCUUAUGACUGACGAGGUAAAUCAGUCACCGGCCUCGCUAUGGAGGGUUCUCUGCCACUGAAACAAACCCUCUAGCCGCCAUUCAUCCAUCUCGUGGAGGGGAAAAAACUAAACAUUAUGACCUUAGAGGAGUUGCCGCCCUUUCCCAUUCCAGGUUUGCGGGGUAAGGCUCCCCGAGGAAGGGGAGACAUAACUUCUAUUGCCCGAGGCGAGGUGGCCUUCUUUAUGGCUGCGUUUACCGUAGGCCUCCGGUUUUUCCGUCCCCCUACCUACAGGCUAAUCAUACAAUUCUAUAACAUCUGCCCGGCCUAGCUUGUCCCAAUGCUUGGAGAAGCAUCAUUUGUUUUAUGGCGGAUUUGUGGGUGUAUUCAAGUACACCCUCUCCCUUUCCGAGUUCAGGGAAAACCUAUUCAGCCUAACAGAACCCUAAAACCGGAUCAAGGCAGGCUUAUAUUCAAGGCGAGAAGAAACAAGAACAAUCUACUCGGAGGGUUACCACCAACAAGGUCAAGCGGGUGGAAUGAGCAAGUUUUUUUUGUCUCGGCGCGAUGAUUGGGAGUUACCGAAGGACACCUCGAGAGUCCGAGGGUAUGGGGGGGUUCCAGGUGGUGAUCCUCUCAUCUCAACCCUCUCAUCUGCUUUUGUCUUACAUUAAGUGCUCAGAGGGUUAAAUUAUCGUUAUUUUUAGAUAAGCACUAAAAACAAUCCACCUCGGCUAUAAGGCGACGAGCCAAAAGUUUGAGGGGAGAUUUUCAAAUCAGUCGAGCAAGACAAGGCGCUUAUCUUUUUGUCCGGUGAUGCUGGAGUCGAACGUCAUUCCGCGAGUAUUUGUUUCUCCCGGAUCCAUGCGGCUAGGGGACUGCAGGCGGAGAGUCGUCCAAACGGCGACAGCGCCGAGUCGUCGGGCGCUGUGGGUGGUCCCAAAAUUCCCGGAAACACGCUCGGAGGCAAAGGGACCUUCACGAGAGAUUCAGUAGAAUGCUUAGGAUCUAUUAGGACAAAAAACUGAGGAGAGAUCUUGGCCUCAAAUCCCCGGGACCUGACCCUUUUUGAGGUGGUCGGGGGGGGAAAAGGUUUUAGAUCUAUUUUAAUUGGGAAUCCUUUAGUCGGGCUCGAAUCCUACAAUCAGAAUCCUUUUCGAAUUCGGAGCCAAACCAUCGAGCUGACGCGGAUGGUAUUGCCCCAUUCUUUUUUUGAGAUUACUUUUAUUUUCCUCGCCUGAUUCGCAUGUUGUUUGUAGCUAUUGUCGAAAGAGGAUUAGCUUUAAAAAGCUCGGCGAGAAACUCGAGAAGUCGAAGAACGGGAAGUUCUCGGAAUUUUCUGCACCCGCCAAAGGGGGUAGUGGAUUGGCAAGAAGUGCACCGGGAGGAGAGUCUGCCUGCUCAGCCAGCCAAAAAGGGGGAAGGUCGAGACGGCUCGUAGGGGAAAGGGGUGAUCGCGGAGCCCGAAGGCAAAAAAGAAGACGGGCAAACUCUUCGAGCACGCUCCGACACCCCAGCCACGGCCUCGUCGCGUCCGGGGGGGAAGGUCACUCGGCCAACCUCAGUGCCGUUUUGAGGCCCCACACCUCUAUUUUGGGCAGCCCCAUCUAUGCGCGAGAAAGUUGUUGCGGGGGGUGAUUCCCCCGGCCUUAAACAGGAAAAGGGGAAGAAGCUAACCUUGGAUCAACAGCGACGACGAGUUUUUUCAUGUGAUCGGCCAGGUACAAUUUGGGAGUGUUUUCAAAUAUAAUAUAUUCUUUUCUAAAAGAGUGUCUAUGCUUAAAGAGUGUUUUUUUUUUAUAGCAGGCGCUGGUGAAUAAGCUCGUCUCUGACUGUCCGAGUAGGGGGCUGGGGAGCAGGCCUCUCUUCCAAGAAGGUCGAGCUGCUCCAUGGAGAUGAGGUUGCUCGCCUUCAGACAGAAGUGUCUUGCGACCUUGAACAGCAUGGCUGAGGCCCGAGUUCGCGAGUAGCAGGCAAACGAUGAGCUCGCCAAACGAAGAGUGAUCGAGACUCACUGACGACAAGGUCGAGAGGUCGGGGGUAUGGUCGGGGUCGGGGGGGGUUUCUUUUCUGGGGGUGAGUGAGAGAAGCCGUGGCAAAGCCAAGGAAUCUGCUGUUGAGGAAUUCAAAUCCUCGCGGGUUUGUGGUGGCGGUCUCGAAGAUUCACUUCCAAAUAUUUCGGCGAGGGUUCGACUUAUUUUUUUUUUUUGACAAGGUUUGCAGCUUCGUCGACAUCACCUCGAUUCGCAAUCGAUUGAAGGCACCAUGGUCGACCAAGAUCUUUUGGCGAAGCAAGGACGAGGCUACCGAGAGAAAGGGAAACAUGAGAAGGUUGGCAAACGAGGGGGGUAAAAAAAAUACCACCCCUCUUUAGUGUUUUUUUUUUUGGCGAGAUAGAUGUAAUCUUUAUUUAAAUAAAUAAGAACAUCUUCGUUCCUCGUUCCCUUUUUAUUGCAUCUUUUUAUUUAUCAUGUUGACUCACUUGAUAUUUAAGGCGAUCAUAUUUUGCGACGAAAAAAAACUUAUAAGGCGAAGUAAUAUUGGCGACUAGUCGAAUAUCACGGCGUCUAGAAUGCCUUGAAUCAUAUCAUAAUGAAGGGCGUUUCUCGAUAAUGGCGACAAGAAGCCGGUCAUAUCGUAAUGAAUGGAAAAUUUUCUGUUAAUGGCCGAUCAAGAAGCCUUAUCAUUCAUCGAAUGGGCAUUCUCGAUAAUGGGCAAUAACCCACUAGCAAUUAAAACUUGCACAAUUGGCGUGAUAAAUUAUUUGGCCGAAUCUAAUAAUUUUCAAUUUGGAAAAUUUGAUUAUAUGAAAGAUAGCAAUCAUAAAAUGUCGUUAGUACAAAAACGCGAAGCGUUUAAGGCGAUUUGCACCAGAGGCGAUCGGAAUCAAAAUGGCGAUCAGGCAUUUAUACUAGUAAUAUUUUUUCAGGUGCUCGCAUUCAGGGAUGUGAAAGUGCCUUUCCGCUUGGGUUUCCAACUAGUAAAACGGUCCCCGGUCUGGACCACCUUGAUUGACUUUGUAAAGGGCCUUCCCAUGUAGGACCGGAGUUCCCUGCACUCCGGCUCCUUAGUGGAUAGGGUUUACCUUUCGACCAAAACCAGUCGCCAGGAAGGAAUAUCGGUGUUGACCCUUCGAUUAGUAUUUGGCGACCUGGCAUUUGUAAGCUGCUUGACGUAGUUAGGCCUCUAUCUUUCUCAUCAAGGAGUGCGCCCCUUCCUUUCUUUCCUUUCCGGGUCGAGGUUGAGCCUCAGCUCGAUUCUCGUUGCUUUCUUUGUCGAAGUCGAAGUCAGAAAAACUCGGCAUACCUAUUUCUACUGGUUAUGACCGAUUCAGUUCCGAAGACCAAGAGUACGGGAGUUUCAACCCGUAGGAAUCCAGAAAUAGUUGUAUGAUAAGCCCAAAAGUAUGCUUGGGCAACUCAUCGCCAACUCGCUUUGACCUCUCUAACCUCGCCUUUAAAUUUUUUGAGGAUAGUACGAUUAGAUAUCUACUGCUCAUUGCGUGAGGAUGCCCUUAGCCGAGGAGAAAUAAUGGGAUGAUGGCCCGAGACCGAGCAGAAUAUUUGAAAACACGUUAUUGCAACUGCCUUGCGUUGUCCGAGACGAUAACUUGGAAAUUUCGAAUUGCAAAUGAGGUGCUCCAUACAAAAUCCCAAUCUUCUCUCGUAAUUUUGGCGAGAGCUAGCCUUCGAUCCCUUAGUGAAAUAGUCCUAUGCGAUGAUCAGGAAUUUCCCUUUUGUAAGGGGAGCUCGUGGUAGGGACCCAGUUAAUGUCGAUUCCCCACUAUGCAAAGGGCCAAGGCUUGACUCGACAUCCAUCUCGGUGUGGGGGGAGACGGCUACGGGGGUCAAACCUUUGACACUUGUGCAUUUUCCUUAUAUAUUCAGCUGCAUCUCGUUCCAAGCCGGCCAAAAUAGCCCUGUCGAUUAUUUUCCUUCCUCGCCACUGACUUUGCCCCAGAAUGUUUUCCCGCAGAUGCUUCGUGUAUUUCUUUAGGACCUAUUCUCUCCUUCUUUUGGUCGGAGACAUUUCAGAGUGGUCCCGAAAAAGAUCUUUUGUAUAAUUCUCCUUUGAAGAUGCAAAAUCUGCUGACAGGUACUAGAUACGGCGAGUUUGCGAGUUAUCUCUUGCAGUGUACCCUCAUGGAGAUAAGCAAUAAUUUCGUCCAUCCAUGUCGGGUUCUCCUUACCUAAAGGACUCGAUUGGCGGACCUCAAUGCCGGGCUAGCUAGGAAUUCCAGAGGUAUGCAUCUAUCAUGAUUUUUUGAAAAACUCAAAGUUGAGGCGAGUUAGCAAGGCAUCUGUCUUUUUAUUUCUUUCCCGGGGGAUUUGGCGAUUUUGAAAUCCUUGAUUUUUACGGACGCAAGCCUUUACCUCGCCCAAAUAAGCCAUAAUCAUUGCGUCUUUGGUGAGGGUCUCCUUGAACUGGGUUACCACUGGAAGACAUCCAGGGAUUGGGCAUCUUAAUUCCACCGGCCACUCUGAGACCAGCGAGAAGGGCUCAUACUCGCUUCCUUAUUAGUGGAUUUAAAAUCCUAUUCUUAUGGCGUACUCCAUUUGCUCGCUUGUGGGUCUGUAUGACGAGUCAUGCCCCACCACAACCGUGCAUGGUGGAAGAGCCAACAAAAAUAUAUCUAACGGCGAGAUCCUUUUUCUGGCUUUGUUCUUUGGGGGGUUUCCAUGUCGGGAGAGCUAUUUCUGGUUCUGGAGUGCCUUCAUGUGUGGAUUUGACGAUAAAAUCAGCCAAGGCCUGAGCUUUUAUUGAUAACCUUGGCCUAUAUUCAAUGUGAAAUUCACUUAGCUCAAUGGAUCAUUUAAGGAGUCUUCCUGAUGUAUCUGGUCGUUGGAGAAUUUGCAGAUUUAGAGACGAAUCUGUUGAGGGCAGCUACUCACCCAGUUAGCUGCUGUACUUCUCGGAUAUUUCUAGGCGAGCUCAUUGUGAAAAGGGCCUGGAUCUGAUCGGGUUUACCUCAAGUCCACGCUUGGUGACAAGAAAAUAUAAAUUUUUUUCAGAUUGAUACUCCAAAAAUGCAAAUUAGAGGGAUUCAACAUCAUUUGGUACUGUCGGAGGAUGUCAAAUGCUUUCUUUUCGAGGGGGGCGAUGUGGUUGGCUUCUUGGAGACUCUUGACUAGCCUAUCGUCAUGUACACCUCCAAAGUCUUCCCAAUUUGUUCUUGAAUAUCUAUUGACAUAAUUGUGAUACGUGCCCCUGAGUUCUUAAACCCAAUGGCAUCGACUUUGUAGCAAUAUAGUCCUCGCUCUGUGAUUAAAAGAAGUUUUUUCCACGUCGGGAGGGUACAUAUGAUUGAUAAUAUCCUGAGAGGUAUCAUAAAAUCAGGAGCCUCAUGCUUGGAGGUGGCGUCGACUAUUAGAUCAAUUGUGGGUAAAUAAAAAUGUCUUUGGGCAAGCUUGUUGAGAUCGGUGAAAUUACGCACCCCCUCCACUUUUCUUCUUUUUUUGGGGCGACUGCUAUAUUGGCGAGCCAAUCCGGAUAAUGGGUUUCUUGCGACUACAUUGGCUUUUAAUGAGUUUGUUCACGUCGUCUUCAAUGACCUUUCGGUGUUAUUCUCAUUCAUGAUUCUCAUCUGUUCGGCCAUACCGUGUAUCUCGCGAUAGAAGGCCUUCUAAGUCGGGCCUGGGAUGGUAUUGCCAUGGGAGGAGCUCUAUUAUCCAGAGGGCUGCUGGCAUUGGUUUGGGUAGUAACGGCGGGGUUGCGCAGGUGCAUAAAAAAAUCACGAAUUGCGUUCUCACAAGACGGCCGCCCAAACUGUGUGAUAAAGAUCUAGGAGAGCAACCAACAGUCAAAUUGCUCAUCGGCCUCAGCACUGGACCUCGGACUAAAAACUGGGCGACCUGCGCAAAACGAACAAACGUAAUCGGCCGGGUGAGGCCACUCACAACCCCUCUGGCGUGACGAUCAGACCACAGGGCAAAGGAGAAACUAAAAUCAAAUAGCAGUGCCUCCUAGUGUAUUAAUUAAAAUUGUGUACCUUGUAUAAUGGGGGAGUGACCUGUAUUUAGCCGGGAGUGGAUAUCCGGGUGGGAUAGUCAGGAGAGAUUUUUCGGGCAACUCAGUUUAGGAAGUGAUCCCUGUGAUUUUGGAGAGAUUCAGGAGGAGCCACGUGGAGAGCAGUCCGUCAUCACGGGAUUGCCGAUGGUUUUGUUAUAGCGCGAGAAUCUCCGGAGAUAAGUUCGGAUCAGUGGAACGCGAUGCAGAGGAUCGAGUUCUUUGAUCUGCGAGGGGACUGGAGGUGAGGUGGUUCAAAAAGAUACUAUCGAUGGCGACCAAAAAUUCAGAGGACGAGGUUGUUCUAAGGCGAAGGCCAACAUUUUUACACCAUCACUUUGGAUAAAAAUGACUUACACUCAACACAUAAUGAUUGGCGUUUGUGUUCUGGUGCGAUAACUUUUAUCUUGUAUUACAAUAAUUUGCACCUGACACAAAAAUGACUACUACCUUGCAUAUGUCAAUAUUUGUACCCGUAAACAUCACAAAAACAAUGGUUGUUUAGUGGGUGUUCUUUUAAGUUAAGGUGAGGGCAAGAGGGUGAAAAUGACAACUUAUGAUUUCAUUUUGAUUGCCAGACGAAGAAAAACGUACAACUUCAUCACAUGCUAAAGAUAAAGUAAAAUAACCUUCAUUUUUUGAAUAAAACUACAAAAAUAUGGGUAAGGAGCCAUAUCCGAAUUACCUGUUAUCGAAUGGAUAUGAAUUGAAAGUAAAAACCAAUAUCCAUUAAUUGGUAAUUGGGUAUGGGUAUGAGUAUGGGUUUGGGGUGGGGUUCGGGUAUGAGUAUGGGUAUAAAGGGGUUGGCAACUUGGCGAUCCAUGCACCGCCCUUCGCGAUCCCUAGGAGCAAGAAAUCGAGAGAGCAGCCCCCAGGGCAUAGCUCAGUUGGCAAAGCACUGGUAGAUUGCAUCCAAGGUUGCCGGUUCGAGACAUAGCAGCCGCAGUGUGGGAGGGUCACUCAUGAAAUAUUGAGUAGGCUCCUUGUGGGCAUUAUGUACUGGGCCUCCCAAUUGUUGGGCCGCUGAGCUCUCUGAUUUAUUUGUCAUGCUAGUUCAUUGGGGCAUGACGUCAUGGCCCGACUAAGGUGUCCGGUCUAUCCUUUUGCAUUCAAAAAAUCGAGAGAGCAGGAAAGGGACAAUAUAUUCUUUGCGUUGAAUUAAGAUGAUUCCGAUAAGCUUCAACUGUCUU